CGAGGGUUGAAAACAACAUAUACGCUGCAGAGGGGCAGCUCUCCUGCUGCGAUGUUCUGCACAUGUGCAGCAUAUGUGUUUCACAGCCCUUUGGACCACUUUCCUUUGUUUAUUUUGACAAAACUCUCACUGGCCCAUGUCUUUCAACAGUUCAAUCUCUCUUUUGAUGCACUUUUAUUGAUUUUUGACAUUUUUCAGUUUUUGUCAUCACAUAUACCAAACAAGCGCAUCUCAUAUGCUGCUGCGGCCACUUCUCUUGUUUCCCAGAGAAACGAAAGUUGGAAAUACUUUCACAUCAUUCGAUAUCCCGUCAAUCUCUCAUAAAUGUAAGUUGAGGACAUAUUUUUCAUAUUUUGUCCCAUCGCCUCAACAGCGUGCAGCAUAUGUGCAGCGGCCCGCCCAUUUAGGGUAACGUUUUCGGAUUAAUGGGUGAGCUCUCUCUCAUCUUCCUUCUCAACACCUUAGUCUGCAAACGUGUGCACUGCUGUGAUAAAAAAUGGCAUUUUCUAGUCUGACCACUGAACGUGCAGCCUAUAUGCUGCAGCAUCUUUUCAACCACAUUUUUUUGGUUGGAACCUGGAUAAAACUAUUAAUUAAACUCGGAUAAAACGGAAAAUGUUAUUCUAAAGACUAAUCUGAAGUCUAAUAAGGGAAAUUGUGCAAAAAAAAAAAAAAAAGAAUAAAAAGAAUGGACGGUUAGGUGGUAUGCAAUUAAUACUUUACAACUGGUUGAGAUCAAGGUAAACAGGGCAUCACCAGGGGAGAAUAAAUGCAAUUUAUCCGGGUUUAUACCUAAUUUUCAGCACAAUGAUCCUAUCUAAGAUCAUAUUGUAAUGGUACCAGGAUAAGAUUCUCCCCUGGUGAUAAAAGAUUUCAUUGCUUUUAAGUUAUUUUGUAGCCUUAUAUGUGUUCAGGUUAGUAUUUGUGUGUGGAUAAAUAACCAGAGCCUGCAAACAUAUACCUGUCCACCGUAUGGCGAUGUUGAUCUAGAAUCCUAAAAGACCAUGGAGGGGGUUGUUCCAGGAUAAGAUUCUCCCCUGGUGAUGCCGUUUACCCUGGUCAAAACCAAUUUUACAUACCACCUAACUGCCCAUUCCUUUUAUUCUUUAUUUUAUUUUGUUUUUUAAAAGGGACAAUGCACCUUUUGCUUCAUUAGUCUUCAGAUAAGUCUUUAGAUUAACAUUUUCCUAAUUUUCAGCACAAUGAUCCUAUCAAAAUUCUAAGAUCAUAUUGUGAUGAGAGAUUUUUUACACAGUUUAUCUUAAAGUAUAAAAAGAUUUCAUGGCUUUUAUUGCUUUUAAGUUAUUUUUUAGCCUUAUAUGUGUUCAGGUUAGUAUUUGUGUGUGGAUAAACAACCAGUGCCUGCAAACAUAUACCUGUCCACCGUAUGGCGAUGUUGAUCUAGAAUCCUAAAAGACCAUGGAGGGGGUUGUUCCAGGAUAAGAUUCUCCCCUGGUGAUGCCCUUACAUAGUUUAUUGUAAAGUAUAAAUUGCAUACCACCUAACUGCCCAUUCCUUUUAUUCCUUAUUUUGUUUUUUAAAAGGGACAAUGCACCUUUUGCUUCAUUAGUCUUCAGAUAAGUCUUUAGAUUAACAUUUUCCUAAUUUUCAGCACAAUGAUCCUAUCAAAAAUCUAAGAUCAUAUU
ensembl:lncRNA